UUACUUUUUUAACCUUUUGACAUUUUUAUUUUUAACUUUAUUUACCAAACCCUAAAUAUUCAUUUCUUCUCUCUCGCAGCCACCCCCCAAAUACAUCUGCCUCUCUUCCUCUGACUUUCAUCAUUCUCCUUCAUCCUUCACACUUCACCUUUGCUNUGAGUGGUGGUGAGGUGAGGUNGUGCGGGGUGCGGUGGUGCGGUGCGAUGCGGUGGGUUCUUACUGUUCNUGGUGGUGCGUCUGUUGCUGUGGUGGUUCUUUUUACUUCCAUCCAGACAAGUUGUAAGCCAUCAUAGUGGGUCCUGGUGGUUCUCAAAGUAAGGAGUUGGUUCUUCUCAGAAUUGGAUACUAAGUUUCUGUCUUCUAAUUUCUAUUUUCGUCUUGUAAGAAGCCCAGUUUGAAGUCCAUCUCGACCAUAAAUUGGACAAAGGAUUUUCCAAUGAAUUCCUUGUUCUCAAUACAAA